GGGGUGAACUUGUUGCAUUAAUUAAUCAGGGGAAUAGGAAAAGUGCCCUACCUCAGAGCAACGUUGUCACUGGUCACUGCUGAGGGAUGCCUUUGAAGACAGUGGUGCCUUGGUCCAAAGGGAGGAUCAAGUCUCCAACAAGAUGAGUGAGGAGAGGACACAGACAUGGACAGAAGGAAGAUCAUGUGAAGACACACAGGGAAAAGACGGCCAUCUACAAGCCAAAGACAGAGGUUUCAGAAGAAAACGACCACCCUGCCAACACCUUGAUUUGGAACUUCUAGCCUCCA